rnacentral:rRNA from 1 species
UNUGACUUGAGUGCAGAAGGGGAGAGUGGAAUUCCAUGUGUAGCGGUGAAAUGCGUAGAUAUAUGGAGGAACACCAGUGGCGAAAGCGGCUCUNUGGUCUGUCACUGACGCUGAGGCUCGAAAGCGUGGGUAGCGAACAGGAUUAGAUACCCUGGUAGUNCACGCCGUAAACGAUGAUUGCUAGGUGUUAGGCCCAUUCCGGGGCUUAGUGCCGGAGCUAACGCAAUAAGCACUCCGCCUGGGGAGUACGACCGCAAGGUUGAAACUCAAAGGAAUUGACGGGGGCCCGCACAAGCGGUGGAGCAUGUGGUUUAAUUCGAAGCAACGCGAAGAACCUUACCAGGUCUUGACAUCCCGAUGCUAUUCUUAGAGAUAGGAAGUUACUUCGGUACAUCGGAGACAGGUGGUGCAUGGUUGUCGUCAGCUCGUGUCGUGAGAUGUUGGGUUAAGUCCCGCAACGAGCGCAACCCUUAUUGUUAGUUGCCAUCAUUAAGUUGGGCACUCUAGCGAGACUGCCGGUAAUAAACCGGAGGAAGGUGGGGAUGACGUCAAAUCAUCAUGCCCCUUAUGACCUGGGCUACACACGUGCUACAAUGGUCGGUACAACGAGUUGCGAGCCGGUGACGGCAAGCUAAUCUCUGAAAGCCGAUCUCAGUUCGGAUUGGAGGCUGCAACUCGCCUCCAUGAAGUCGGAAUCGCUAGUAAUCGCGGAUCAGCACGCCGCGGUGAAUACGUUCCCGGGCCUUGUACACACCGCCCGUCACACCACGAGAGUUUGUAACACCCGAAGUCGGUGAGGUAACCUUUUAGGGNCCA